CAUUCUGUGUAGACUUUUGUCAGUGUUAAUAUGCCAGACAGUCUUUUCAUAGACGAUAUAUUAACUGAAUAUAUUCCUAUGCAAGAUACGUAAUCUUAAAGAUAUAAUAGAGCUGAAGAGAAUAGCAGACUUAGAAAACAAACUUAAACAGGAUAAUGAAUGCAGUUUGGAAAUGACAAAUGUAAAACCAUUUACUUUGAGACCAAUAUAUUACUGGUUACUCAUGUUUUCCUCAUCAAAGAAAAAUCAUUCUAUACAAAAUCUGAAAUGUCCUACUUUUGCUAUUUAUAAUUACCAUUCUCUCCAUGGAUUUAUCAACUUUUUCACUCACUACUGCCAGUUAUCCUUUAUAACCCAAGUUUUUUUUUUUUUUACAUAGACUGUAUCCCGUCUAGUAUCGAUUAAAUGAUAAAUAAAAAAAAUAGGAUCUUUUCAA